GCCGGUGAACAUUAAGGGAAGUUAAACGAACAUCUGUGCUUUGGAUAAAUCUAUCCACAUAAAUGUGUGCCACAACGAAGCAGGAUGGGCUACAGCCAGAGUACUUGAAGAUGCGAUCAAUGUACUGCCGAAUACUUACUGCAGGUGCUCUUAAACCAUCAAAUUCUGUAAUGGCAUCUUUGAUCUGUUUAGUCUCCAGCACAGUCUCAUUUUUCUGAACAGAUCUCUCAAGAAGAGAAGAAAGAAGGGUUAAAACCUGUGGAGUUCCCAAAACUCCUUUUCCCAAUUCCUUGACCUUAAGUCCCAAACUUAGGUAUACAUCUGAGUCUACAUUGCCAGUAUCAAGUGUCAAUGUUCCCAUAGCUGUACAUCAAUAAUUGAUAUGUGGGUAUUAUCGUGGGUUGCUAAAAAAGCAUGCGGGACGAAGAAGAAAGAGUGAGCACAGAGAGGAACAGAGAGUGAAUUAUGGUUCAUAGAAUUUGCAAUUUCCCUUCUCUCUCUGCCAUGUUUGCUUUCCACCCUACAUUCGUUUAGGCAAGGUGAGGAGGAGGGAGAAACAGAGAGUUCUGAUUUUAUUAUCGACUUAAAAAAUAGCACUCUGUCUCUCUCUUUCCCAUGGAAAGAAG
rnacentral:misc_RNA from 1 species